GCAGUGUGUACACACCCACAGAAGACUGCCCUCAGCUGUAAAAAAUCAAGCGUAGUUGAGCCCAGGAGUUCUGGGCUGUAGUGCGCUAUGCCAAUCGGGUGUCCGCACUAAGUUCGGCAUCAAUAUGGUGACCUCCUGGGAGCAGGGGACCAUCAGGUUGCCUAAGGAGGGGUGAACCAGCCCACAUUGGAAACAGAGCAGGUCAAAACUCCCGUGCUGAUCAGUAGUGGGAUCGCGCCUGAGAAUAGCCACUGCACUCCAGCCUGGGCAACAUAGCGAGA
rnacentral:SRP_RNA from 1 species